rnacentral:rRNA from 1 species
AUUAGAUACCCUAUUAUUAAAGCUAAAAGCUCUCCAUAUGGAGUAUAGGCGGUAGCCUGGAAAACAAUAUACAUGGCGGUUAGGGAUAACCUAUUAGAGAAGCAUGUAAACUUAAUGAAUCUACCCAAGAUAAAAGUUCUAGAUUUUGAUAAAUAGCCAUUUUGUACACCGCUAUCUGAAAAAUUCUAUUAUAUCAGAAUUUUGAUCAAAAGUCCUUGAAUAAGGUAAGUUAAGGUGCAGACAAUAAUCUAGGAUUUAUGUGCCUCUUUCUUAUGUCUAUGGAAAAGGAUAUGAAAACUCUUAAAUAAAAAGAAUUUAACAGUAAAUAAAGUUGAUCAAACUUUAUUGAAGAGGCAAUCUCUAACGUACACAUCGCCCGUCGCUC